UGAGUUGUGGGGCAGCCCAAGGCUGUUAUGAAUUAGUGCAGCACGUAGGACUACUCUCCUUAGUGCUGGAGGCUGGCUGCUGGAGUAAGCUGAAGAAGACAGGGACAAAGGUGGCUCAAAGCCUGAAAGAUGCAGCACAGAACCUGGCUCAGCUGUACAACUUACUGUUGGAUGAUAGGAAGUAACAGCGCCUCUUAUGCCUCAAACAUGGAUUGAGGUAAGACACUGCCAGUGCUGGAGGGUCCCAUUUCUAUCGCUUCUAAAUAUAAUUUGUUGCUCUUCCUCUGAUGCAGUUGCUGGGAGAUCUGCAACUGCCAGCAGACAAGAAUGAGAGGCUAGUCCUUGAAGAAGAGUGUUAAUUUAGCAAGUUAGGCAAUAUGGAGCUGUGUUAACUACAACUGUGUGGGUUUUGGAUUGUUGGGAAGCUUUUAAUUUCAA